rnacentral:lncRNA from 1 species
UAGGCUUCCAUUUUGGACAAUGAAAAUCCAUAAACCUCAUCAGAGAAGAAAGAAUGAAUACAUUGGAAGUCACAGCAUCACAUUUAAUGCUAAAAAGAGAAAAGUAGAAUAUGUUGUUUGUUUUUGCAAGUAAGUAUUUUAUAUCAAUAUAAACCCGUGUAACUCAAUUGUUUCUUAGACUUACUAACAUUUUUCUUUAGACUUACUAACUCUUG